rnacentral:rRNA from 1 species
GAUGAACGCUGGCGGCGUGCCUAAUACAUGCAAGUCGAGCGAACAGAUAAGGAGCUUGCUCCUUUGACGUUAGCGGCGGACGGGUGAGUAACACGUGGAUAACCUACCUAUAAGACUGGGAUAACUUCGGGAAACCGGCGCUAAUACCGGAUAACAUAUUGAACCGCAUGGUUCAAUAGUGAAAGGCGGCUUUGCUGUCACUUAUAGAUGGAUCCGCGCCGUAUUAGCUAGUUGGUAAGGUAACGGCUUACCAAGGCAACGAUACGUAGCCGACCUGUGAGGGUGAUCGGCGACACGAGAGCUGAACCGGGGACAAGGCGCCUAAGGGAGGCAGCAGAAGGGAAUCGGCCGCAAUGGGCGAAAGCCUGACGGAGCAACGGGGCGUGAGAGAUGAAGGUCUUGGGAUCGUAAAAAUCGGUUAUCAGGGAAGAACAAAUGUGUAAGGAACUGUGCACAGCUUGACGGUAACUGAUCAGAAAGCCACGGCUAACUACGUG